rfam:Glycine max cultivar Williams 82 chromosome 7, whole genome shotgun sequence.
GGGGAGCAUCUAGAUGGCAAGAUGUUGCCUGAUACAAUCUUCCUAUAGAGAAGAACUGUUGUUUCCUGCUUGCAAUGCUUGAGCAAGUACUGCAAGUCUCAAAUAAACAGUGACACAU